rnacentral:lncRNA from 1 species
UAAUAAAAGGAUACAAAUUUAUUGAUGUGUACAAGAGAACCACAGAGUGAUUACCCCACCAGACGAUAGGGAACAGAUGGCUAUAUACCCUUCUCUUAGGGAAAGAGAUAUAUAAAGUGUGGAUGAUUUUAGGGGAUAGUAAAUAAUUUUUAGGGGGAGUCAAUAGGCUUGAAGAACAUACAGUCACCUGGGACAAAGUCUGUUGGGUUGGCAGAACACUGGUUUGUCACUGAAGUCUCUUCAGGUGUGUUGAUAGACUUCAGUCUUCCUGCAAUGUGAAUUCAGUUAGUAAAACACAAGAGAAGGGACCUGAGAUACUUGUUUUCUUUUUUGUUAUGUCCAGACUUUAGGCAGAUAAGGUAACUUCCAAGAACAACUUCAUCCUGUUCUUUGGAAGAGGCAGGUUUGAGAGACAGGAAGAGUAGGCUCAGAUCAGAGAGAUGUUGAGGAUUCUUCAGUUUAGCACAUCAAAGUGUCAUAGUUUGGUGUAUUGGUUUCUGAGCUCCAACAAGGCCAUGAAGACAGAAACAUGAUUCAUACAAUGUUUCUGAUUUUUAGAUCACAAAGACCAGUGAGAAAGAUUUAUAUGCUUCCAAAUGUUUCAAGUUAAAGUUUAAAUAGAAAUGUAUAAAAUAUGCUAUAAACACACACACACACAACUUCAACUAAUUAUGAUUUCAAGGAAGAGAGAAGAAUGGUAAAAUCAAGACAAAUUUCACUGAACACAUAAUAUUAGAGCUUAAUUUUAAAAAGAAAUCUUUUUGUGGAUUAGGGAAGUAGAGAAAGGGUUUCCAUGAAGAGAAUUAAUGUGAAUACAAAUGCACAUGUUUUUGUUUGUUUUCUGAUAAGCUUAUUUUUUUCUUUCUUUUUUUCUUUUUUAUUGUUUGAGGUACAAUGCCAUGAAAAGGAAUGCUGAGCACUCUAGGAUUCUACUUUAAGUUGGAAACCAUAAAUAUGUAAUGCCUCCAAUUUUCUUGGCAAUAUGAGUUUUUCUAGCAACACAAAGCUGCCAAGUGCAGGAUCCUAGAAUGGGAAAAUUUAAGUUCAAUGAACAUUAUUUUCAGGCAUGAACAACAUUUGGGCAGGUACAACUUUUUAAUAACUUAAAAUCAAGACACCAAGCAAAUAAACUCCCAAACAGCUCAACUGUUGGACUGUCUUAUGAAGAUAGCCACAAUGGCUAGGAUUUAAUGAUAAUAAGAUGUAUAUUUCGAAGCACCUCUCCACGUGAACUGUUCUUAUGCAACAGAAAACAUAAUUAUGAAAUUUAAAAAAAUAUGUUUUUUUUCUCUGAAACUGAAAUGAAUACAAUUCUGAUAUGGUAACAAGAAAAAUGUAUUUCAGACAACGAUAACUCAUUAUUGAUGUUAAUAUUGAAGUUCUUUUCCACACUAUGGAGACGGGUAGCUUCUUUGUGCACUCAGAGAAUUUGCUUUUAUCUUCCUUUGCUACCUCAGGUCAAUAGUCCAUCAAUAUUUUAUAGUCUCUCUUCUACCACAGUACUUCCACUUAUGGCGUGACAGCAUUCUUUAAAGGAGCUCCAGUAUCUUCCUUUUUCAUCAAUUCAUAUCAUUUCCAUGCUCCUCCUGGCUUAUAGAUAGAAAAAGAAGUUUUCUUAAAAGUUUAGAAAGGUGUCUCUCUCUCCUUUCUUCCUUCUAUCGUUUCAGAGGGGUUCUGCCCCACACUAGGAGGAAGGAAUGCCACGUAGAGAAGCCAAGAAGAAUCUGAACAAACAAGUCCGGCUAGAUCUCCUUCUCAGUCCAUUACCAUUAGAUCAUACCCUUUUGUCCAAUCACAUCUCCACUCAGCUGUCAAUUUUUCAUCGAAUCUAAGCAUAAAAAUGGAUAAUUUUCCCUGGGUCUUUGGGUCUUUAUUUCUGAAGCCUCCCAAAAUCAUGUAAAAACUUGAUUUAAUAAAAUUGUUACGCUUUUCUCUUGUUAACCUUUUUGUUGUUGUUGUUAUGACAGCAUCAGUUGUGAGACUUAUGAUGGGUAUGGAAAGGUAUCACAACUUUCAGCACCAUGUACGCAGUACUUGUCCUGGGUGUCUCCAAUUCUAAACUCUAGGCUCACAUUUUGCCAAGGUGAAAGAAGGGCCCACAAUUAUCUCUUGGCCAAAAUUACCAUAUAUAUUCAUUGUAAUUCCAAUUUUACCUGCAAGAAUAUAAAUUUGAGGUAUGGAUAUUUCAUAAUGCAUAAGUAAAAUUGCUAAAUUCUAUUUGGGACAUUUAAAAAAGCAUAUCAGCAAUUACAACUGUAUAAAUGGAAUCAAUUUAUCUACAUUCAAAGUGUGUAUGUUCCCUUCCAAUAGACAAUCAAGCAAACAGACAUCUGAUUAAUUAUUCCUGGUGGAUGUUAAGGUAAUUAUUUAUUAUUUUCAAAACUCAAAUAAAGAAAAAAGCAAGAAUUUUCAUUGCCUUCUUUAACAAAAUAUGUGAAAGUAGGGCAGGCAUUUAGCGAGGAAACAGGACAUGAUUACUUGCAGGUGGCUCAAAGCAAUACAAAUAGGACCAAACACAUUAUCACAAAGACAUGUCCCCUACUAGCAAAGAACUGUUGCAACAGGUUAUAACAAUGAAGACAGAUUAUAGAUAUCUUGUUUAGGCACAAAUAAGAAUAUCCUAACAAAGAAAAAACUGCUAGUAGAUAAAUCCA